CGACUUGGAUGGACUACAGGACUUGCUAUGAAGCCCUGGAGGUUAGCCCGCAGACCAAAAGGACUCAGACUCGCUAUGAACCCUAGAGGUCAGCCCGGAGACUAACAAGACUCGCUACCAAGCCACAAAAGCAGGCCGGGAGACCAACAGGACUCGCUACGAACCCUAGAGGUCAGCCCGGAGACCAACAGGACU